rnacentral:lncRNA from 1 species
AGGAAAACCUCAGGGAGAUGAAGAAGAAACAAAAAAAAAUUGAUUCUUCCAUCCAUGAAUGGAUGAUGGAAGAUUGAUAAUAAAAGAAAAGCCUUUUCUCGGAUUGAAAAACCACCAACCUUUAGCCUUCGGAUGAGGAUGAAGGAUGAAAAAAGAUCAAAAAAAAAAGAUGAGGAAUAGUCGGUAUGAGAUGACACAACAAAGCAAAACUAAUGAUUAGCC